UNUGACUUGAGUGCAGAAGGGGAGAGUGGAAUUCCAUGUGUAGCGGUGAAAUGCGUAGAUAUAUGGAGGAACACCAGUGGCGAAAGCGGCUCUCUGGUCUGUCACUGACGCUGAGGCUCGAAAGCGUGGGUAGCGAACAGGAUUAGAUACCCUGGUAGUCCACGCCGUAAACGAUGAGUGCUAGGUGUUAGGCCCUUUCCGGGGCUUAGUGCCGGAGCUAACGCAAUAAGCACUCCGCCUGGGGAGUACGACCGCAAGGUUGAAACUCAAAGGAAUUGACGGGGGCCCGCACAAGCGGCGGAGCAUGUGGUUUAAUUCGAAGCAACGCGAAGAACCUUACAGGUCUUGACAUCCCGAUGCUAUUCUUAGAGAUAGGAAGUUACUUCGGUACAUCGGAGACAGGUGGUGCAUGGUUGUCGUCAGCUCGUGUCGUGAGAUGUUGGGUUAAGUCCCGCAACGAGCGCAACCCUUAUUGUUAGUUGCCAUCAUUAAGUUGGGCACUCUAGCGAGACUGCCGGUAAUAAACCGGAGGAAGGUGGGGAUGACGUCAAAUCAUCAUGCCCCUUAUGACCUGGGCUACACACGUGCUACAAUGGUCGGUACAACGAGUUGCGAGCCGGUGACUGCAAGCUAAUCUCUGAAAGCCGAUCUUAGUUCGGAUUGGAGGCUGCAACUCGCCUCCAUGAAGUCGGAAUCGCUAGUAAUCGCGGAUCAGCACGCCGCGGUAAAUACGUUCCCGGGCCUUGUACACACCGCCCGUCACACCACGAGAGUUUGUAACACCCGAAGUCGGUGAGGUAACCUUCUAGGGGC
rnacentral:rRNA from 1 species